ACGCUAGCUACAGGCUUAACACAUGCAAGUCGAGGGGAAACGACAUCGAAAGCUUGCUUUUGAUGGGCGUCGACCGGCGCACGGGUGAGUAACGCGUAUCCAACCUGCCCACCACUUGGGGAUAACCUUGCGAAAGUAAGACCAAUACCCAAUGACGUCUCUAGAAGACAUCUGAAAGAGAUUAAAGAUUUAUCGGUGAUGGAUGGGGAUGCGUCUGAUUAGCUUGUUGGCGGGGUAACGGCCCACCAAGGCGACGAUCAGUAGGGGUUCUGAGAGGAAGGUCCCCCACAUUGGAACUGAGACACGGUCCAAACUCCUACGGGAGGCAGCAGUGAGGAAUAUUGGUCAAUGGACGAGAGUCUGAACCAGCCAAGUAGCGUGCAGGAUGACGGCCCUAUGGGUUGUAAACUGCUUUUAUAAGGGAAUAAAGUGAGUCUCGUGAGACUUUUUGCAUGUACCUUAUGAAUAAGGACCGGCUAAUUCCGUGCCAGCAGCCGCGGUAAUACGGAAGGUCCGGGCGUUAUCCGGAUUUAUUGGGUUUAAAGGGAGCGUAGGCCGGAGAUUAAGCGUGUUGUGAAAUGUAGACGCUCAACGUCUGCACUGCAGCGCGAACUGGUUUCCUUGAGUACGCACAAGGUGGGCGGAAUUCGUGGUGUAGCGGUGAAAUGCUUAGAUAUCACGAAGAACUCCGAUUGCGAAGGCAGCUCACUGGAGCGCAACUGACGCUGAAGCUCGAAAGUGCGGGUAUCGAACAGGAUUAGAUACCCUGGUAGUCCGCACGGUAAACGAUGGAUGCCCGCUGUUGGUCUGAAUAGGUCAGCGGCCAAGCGAAAGCAUUAAGCAUCCCACCUGGGGAGUACGCCGGCAACGGUGAAAC
rnacentral:rRNA from 1 species